CCUACGGGUGGCAGCAGUGAGGAAUAUUGGUCAAUGGGCGCGAGCCUGAACCAGCCAAGUAGCGUGAAGGAUGACGGCCCUACGGAUUGUAAACUUCUUUUAUAAGGGAAUAAAGGGAGCCACGUGUGCCUUUUCGUAGGUACUCGAUGAAUAAGCAUCGGCUAACUCCGUGCCAGCAGCCGCGGUAAUACGGAGGAUCCGAGCGUUAUCCGGAUUUAUUGGGUUUAAAGGGAGCGUAGAUGGGUUGUUAAGUCAGUGGUUAAAGUUUGCGGCUCAACCGUUAAAUUGCCAUUGAUACUGGCAGUCUUGAGUACAGUUGAGGUAGGCGGAAUUCGUGGUGUAGCGGUGAAAUGCAUAGAUAUCACGAAGAACUCCGAUUGCGAAGGCAGCUUACUA
rnacentral:rRNA from 1 species